ACACUUGGCCUGUGCUCCCAUUUGAGUUCAGCACAAGAGAAAGAACUGUCAUCCCUCUCACUUUGGUAAUGCUCAUGGCAUUCUCUGGACUUACAAAGGUGUGGCAAAGCUCUUGCCUGUGGGACACAAGGGGCUCCAGCUGUGCCAGGACAGAUUUUAUCACAGAAGCACGAAGGGAAACACACAAGUGAUUAAAUAUCUAAAGAUUUUGUACAGCCUCUCUGCUUGUACCCUUAUACACUGAGAUUUUGAUUCAGGCUUUAAACAUGGAUCUUUGAAAUAAAAAGAUGUUGUCUUCUUAUUUCUCACUGAUGAUACCAUCACCCUCUCUGCCCUAAACACCAAGCUCACCUACUGUUCCACUGAGAAAAGGACCUUGGCAUCAUCUGGGGGUAGAGUGCAUUUGCUCUGUUCAGCCUUGUCAUCAGUAUCAGCGUGCCCCCACAACUACCAUUCACACAGGCUGCCUGACUGCUGGCCACCCCCAUGGGUGUUACUUCUACUAUUAACGCAAACUCUAGAAUCCACUGCUGACAAGGGGCAUGUUUGCACCACCAAGAUAAACAUAUAUCUCUCACUACAACUGCUGUGCUGCCAGCAUGCUGCUAUUCAGUUGCCAAUUUACCAUUCAAUACUGCUAAGUACUGUUAGAAAGCAAGCAUCAGGCAGUGCUGAAACUCCAUCUGCACAUCCUAAACCAUCCAGAUUGUCUAGCUUGGCCUCCUGUGUA